UACGUAGGUGGCGAGCGUUGUCCGGAUUUACUGGGCGUAAAGGGAGCAUAGGCGGACUUUUAAGUGAGAUGUGAAAUACUCGGGCUCAACUUGAGUGCUGCAUUUCAAACUGGAAGUCUAGAGUGCAGGAGAGGAGAAUGGAAUUCCUAGUGUAGCGGUGAAAUGCGUAGAGAUUAGGAAGAACACCAGUGGCGAAGGCGAUUCUCUGGACUGUAACUGACGCUGAGGCUCGAAAGCGUGGGGAGCAAACAGG
rnacentral:rRNA from 1 species